rnacentral:rRNA from 1 species
UACGUAGGGGGCGAGCGUUGUUCGGAAUUAUUGGGCGUAAAGGGUGCGUAGGCGGGCAGGUAAGUCCGUGGUGAAAUCUCUGAGCUUAACUCAGAAACUGCCAUGGAUACUAUUUGUCUUGAAUGUUGUGGAGGUAAGCGGAAUAUGUCAUGUAGCGGUGAAAUGCUUAGAUAUGACAUAGAACACCAAUUGCGAAGGCAGCUUACUACACAAAUAUUGACGCUGAGGCACGAAAGCGUGGGGAUCAAACAGG